AUGCUCUACUCUCCCCACUUCGCAGCAAAAAACAAAGUUUCCUUUUCUCGCCGGGUAUCGAUGCUUUGCGGGAAGCUCGCUGCCCCAAAUGGGUUACGGGGUCGGGGAAGUAAAGAAGGGGGGGGGAAAGCAGCCAACACACCCCCUCCUCACACUCCCUCCCUUCCCGACCCCAACACGUACCCAGCGCCAGCACGGCCGCCUCUCCCGGCAUUCUGGUGGCGGUGGCGGCGGUGUUGGCGGCGGAGGUUGGCGGUGCGCAGCGCCCAGUGCGGCCGAGGGGCCGGGCUCCGCGCCGGCGGAAAUGGGCGCGGAUUCCCCGCCGGCCCCGGGGCGGAGCUACGCGGCCCCCGGCCCCGCGGUGCCCGGUUCCGAGCUCCCCCCGACGGCAGCGUUCGGUGCGCUCUGUCCCGUUUCGUUCGGCGGAUCGUUCCUUUCGUUAUGGGGUGGGAGGUGGGGAAAUGGGGAGGGGAGGUGGUGGUGGCGGUGGGGGAAGGUUUGAACCGGUCCUUCCCUCCUUGCCCCUAUCUGCUCCAUCGCGCUGCCGGAUUGCUUCACCGACCGCAAAGUGCAUUCCUGCAGCUGCUGCUGGCCGCCGGCCCACGCCCCUUCCUCCCCGCUGCGAAUCUCACCUCGGUGAUCCAAGCCUUUGUCAUCCUUAAAUCAGUGGGGCCGCGGACGAGGCCACCUGGGAGCCCGGGGGAGGGCAGAGAGAUGGGAACGUGGCCCCCACUCCCACCUCUGCCUCCUCCCCUCCCCCCAACUCCGUCACUGAAGUCCCCCUGGUGGCAAACGUGGCCCCUCGGAGAGCUGUCCCCAGGUGCUGUGACAAAUGGGGCUGGUCUGGUGGUGUGGGGGGGACACACGUGGGGGAUCCUUUGGGAACACCCCUUGGGGACCCUUAGGGGACACCCUCUGGCAGCUUUGGGGACAGCCUUUGGGGACACUUGGGGGAUGCUCUUUGAGAACACCUUGGGGACAAUAUUUGGGAUGCUUUGGGAACACUCCUUGGGGACCCUCUGCGGACAGCCAGCCUUUGGGAAUACCUUGAGGAGGCUCUUUGGGGACCCUUUGGGGGCACCCUUUGUGGACCCUUGGGGGACACUCUUUGGGAACACCUUGGGGGCAAUAUUUGGGGACACUCUGGGGACACCCUUUGGGAAAACCCCCUGGGGACCCUUUGGGGACACUUUGGGAUUAACCAGCCUUGGGGAACACAACAGGGAGGCUGUUUGGGCACCCUCUGAUAAUACCUUGGGAACAUCUCUUGGGGACCCUUUGCGGACAUCCUUUGGAGACCCUUUAGGGACUUUGGGGAUGCUCUUUGGAGACCCUUUGGGAACACAGUUUGAGAACAUCUUGGGAACACCCCUUGGGGCUGCUUUGGGAACACACUUUGGAGACACCUUGGGGAUCCUUUGGGGCCCCUUUGGGUAUACACUUUGGGGACACUGUGGGCACCCUUUGGGGACCCUUUGGGAACACCUUUUGAGGACACUCUUUUGGAACACCUUGGGGACCUUUGGGGACACCCUUUAG
rnacentral:lncRNA from 1 species